CGACACAUAACGUCUCCAUGUUGUUAGUUGUUUAGUAGUUACUGAGUUUCUUCUGUUCACAGGAAGAUCCUCGAUGGCCAUUUAGAAGUUUUUAUAUUAUUUGAACCAAAAGCUGAAUCUAACAGAUGAAACCUUGUUAAUAAUCUGGAGCUGGUUGAGAUCAGUGGUCGGUGGAUGAUUUCCAGACGUGUUUAAUGACAAAAACUUCACUCAGCAGGACUCUCUGAUUCUUCAGAUGGAAGGUCUGUUCCUUCACUUCCAGCUCAGAACCAUCUCCAGUUUGGUUUUCUGUCUCCUACUGACUCACUGUUCUAGAGUGUCAGCUCCUGUCUCCUCACCCGUCAUCAGUUUAUCAGGGAUGGACAGAGACAGA